GACGAACGCUGGCGGCGUGCCUAACACAUGCAAGUCGAGCGGAGAUGAUGUGAGGAAGUUUUCGGAUGGAAUCACAUUAUUUUAGCGGCGGACGGGUGAGUAACGCGUGAGCGACCAACCUUGCACAGGGGAUAACGGACCGAAAGGUUCACUAAUACCGCAUGAGACCACGGUGUUGCAUGACACAGGGGUCAAAGGAGGAAUCCGGUGCAAGACGGGCUCGCGUCCGAUUAGGUAGUUGGAGGGGUAACGGCCCACCAAGCCUAUGAUCGGUAGCCGACCUGAGAGGGUGAGCGGCCACAUUGGAACUGAGAUACGGUCCCAACCCCUACGGGAGGCAGCAGUGGGGAAUAUUGGGCAAUGGGGGAAACCCUGACCCAGCAACGCCGCGUGAAGGAAGAAGGUUUUCGGAUUGUAAACUUCUGUCCUUGGUGAAGAGAAGAAGACGGUAGCCAAGGAGGAAGCCCCGGCUAACUACGUGCCAGCAGCCGCAGUAA
rnacentral:rRNA from 1 species